GUGUAAGGGAUGCAUUGUGUGUUUCUGUGUAUAUGUGCAAAGGAUGCAUUGUCUUUAUGUGUAAGGGUUGCAUUGUGUGUUUCUCUGUAUGUAAGGGAAGCAUGUUGUGUUUCUGUGUGUAUAGGGAUGCAUUGUGUGUGUGUGUGUGUGUGUGUGUGCGCGUGGUGUGAAAGAGCUCCCUGUCCUGCCCCCUGUCCUAAAGAGCUCUCCCUUCCAUCCCUUAGAG